AAAUUGAAGAGUUUGAUCAUGGCUCAGAUUGAACGCUGGCGGCAGGCCUAACACAUGCAAGUCGAACGGUAACAGGAAGCAGCUUGCUGCUUCGCUGACGAGUGGCGGACGGGUGAGUAAUGUCUGGGAAACUGCCUGAUGGAGGGGGAUAACUACUGGAAACGGUGGCUAAUACCGCAUAACGUCGCAAGACCAAAGAGGGGGACCUUCGGGCCUCUUGCCAUCAGAUGUGCCCAGAUGGGAUUAGCUUGUUGGUGAGGUAACGGCUC
rnacentral:rRNA from 1 species